AGUAGUUGCUUCCAUUUCCAGCCAAGCUGUGACAAACCAUCCAGGAGAUCAUGAUGAAUCACCCCGAGAUGGUCACAGCAGACAAGCAGGACUGUUUCAGGAGGAAUUCUGGAGGUCAGCAUCACCACCGACGUCUGAAAUAGGUGUAAAUGGCACUUGAAGAUACAAGGUGGCUGGCUUUCACGGACCAAGCUACUGCAGAUCAACCAUCAGUGUCUGUCAUUUUCCUGGAAAAUGUCUCAGCUACCAGGCCCUGAAGGAAAUGUUUACAUUGCAAAACUGACCAACCAUCAGACCCACCAGAAAUCACUUCUCCAAGGAAACAAUGCAAAAUGCCCAGGAAGAGUUACUUAUAUUUUCUGGAGUAAGGAAGAAUAAAGAUAUCAAACAGCAAGAUGACUUUGGUGGCAUCCUUGCCUUUGCUUCACAAGACUCCUCACUCUCCAACUAUAGUUUCCACUUCUACGACUCCUGAAAUCUUUCAGCCCCAGGAUAGAUUGCAUGUGUUUACAUGUUCAUGGGAAUACUUGGGUGCAUGUGUCUGAUGAGAUUGUUCAUGUGUGUGCACACACAUAUGGAGGCCAGAGGACUUGUGAUUCAGGUGACAGCCACCUCAUUUUGAAAUGGUGUCUCUCACUGAUCAUAGUGUCUCGUUGGCCUGGACCUUACAAGUAAGGAAGAUGGCUGCCCAUUGACUCCCAGGGAUCCAUUUGUCUCAGCAAUGGAAUUGCUGGAAUUAGGGAGGCAAACCACCAUCCCGGGCUUUUUUUUUUUUUAAAUCUGGUGAUCAGAACAUCUCCACAUCAUCCCAGGAUAGUGAAUUUUCACAAUUUUCACAAUUUUCACAAUUUUCACAAUUUUCACAGGAUAGUGAAUUUUCACAUACAAUUAUCAGGGUAGCAACUGAGCAUCUGGCAAAAUGUGUUGUAUUUUUAAGUGACUGGCCUGUAAUACCAAUAUAUCUAUUGAUAUAAUGAUGACAUAAGUAGUUACAUACCAAUAUAGGUCAUGAUGUGAUAUAUAUUUUAUGCAUUGGUAUAUAAUGGGAAUAUACAUUAUGUGCUAAUGUAGAUAUUUGUUAAAUGGGUGAAAAGCUGAGUUGAUGAUCAAAGACUUUAAGGUUAAACCUGAAUGACUUAAGUGUUCAGAAUUUGGAAAUGGCACCAUAUAUGGAAAGUUUCCAUGACUGUUUUACAACUCCACUCUUCUUGAAUAGUCCAGAAAGAGAAAGAAAGAGAUGGGGCAUUGCUAAAAUGGGGUAUUGCUGCAAUCCUAGAUCAGCCUUGCUAUCAGUGUCACUGUUACAGGGAUGCUGCUAUUCAGCAAUGAAUGGAAAGUGUCCGCCCUGGAGCCAGCUUAUGGGGCCUCAGAAGCUGCAUUUGACCAAGAUAAGAAUUUUACUUAUAUUUAAUCUGUGACAUUGUAUUCUCCCUAAGGUAUAAUUCUCUACCUAAUGGAAAAGAAAGAGAGAGAGAGAGAGAGACAGAGAGAGAGAGAGAGAGAGAGAGAGAGAGAGAGAGACAGAGAGAGACAGAGAGAGAGACAGAGGCAGAGACAGAGACAGAGACAGAGACAGAGACAGAAAGACCUUGAGGUGACUGCUGUCUGCUCAUUGCUCAGCCCCAGGUCAUUUUCUUCUGUCAUGUACCUUCCUGUUGACAUACAGUGACUCAUAGCCUCUAGCAAAGUUGACAGAACUGAAUGAACCCAUCCAAGUUAGGUCAGUCAGCGAUUUCAUAUCAAUCUGUAAUUGGAAUUAAGGGACUCUGGUAAGUCUUCAUCUAAGAAGUAGUUGAGACCAUGCAUAAGUACACUUGGCUACUUACUACCACUUUCUGGGGACUGAUACGGGUCUCUCCUUUCCUUGCCUCACUUCCAAACUAGCAAAGGGAUGGAAAUCAUUAGCAGAACAGAAACACAUCAGCCUUUUCUGCUUAAACACGACUAGUUUGGCAAUGUAGAACUCUUGAUGAGACAGGUUUGUUGGUGACCCUAAUGGAGGGAGGGAGAGUGUGGCCUUUUGGAGGUCUCUCCAGGGAGAAAGAAAGUAGAGAUGUCUUAAUUAUGAAGGUCUUAUCCUUUUCUCAAGUCAUCAACAAAAAUCCAAAAGUAUAACCCUAACUGAAGUUUUUGUCUUUGGGAAAUAAGAGGCUUUGCCUCUUGUGGAGAUGCAGAGAAAGCCAGGCUCAAGAGACAGUGGGUGCCAGGAAGCUGCUCUUCUCACCUGUGUCCUGAUUUCCCAGCUUUGAUUUCUCAACCUUCUUAGGAAGCGCAGCCACACUUCUUAUCCCUGAGUUCCCUCGAGCAAACUUCCCCUCUAUGUAAGGCUUGUGUCUUGGUGAGGUUUGAAAAUAAACUGGUUGUAGACAAUGC